UACGUAGGGUGCGAGCGUCGUCCGGAAUUAUUGGGCGUAAAGGGCUCGUAGGCGGUCUGUUGCGUCGGGAGUGAAAACUCAGGGCUUAACCCUGAGCCUGCUUCCGAUACGGGCAGACUAGAGGUAUGCAGGGGAGAACGGAAUUCCUGGUGUAGCGGUGAAAUGCGCAGAUAUCAGGAGGAACACCGGUGGCGAAGGCGGUUCUCUGGGCAUUACCUGACGCUGAGGAGCGAAAGUGUGGGGAGCGAACAGG
rnacentral:rRNA from 1 species